GAGGAAGCUCUGCCUUUUGUUCUUUGAUCUGAUGGACACAAAGCUGAAGGUUGCCUGCACUGCCAGCCCCAGGCUGUAUGCCCCUAAAACUGUAGCUGUCAUCUUCAAAUCUGGACCAACUUGUCAUAUUUACCCCUGACAGUUUCAGAAGAAUGUGGGUAGGUAGUAAUUGUAGGUCAGAUGUAUAUAUUUAAUUAGCAAAAUAAUAGCUUGUAAAUCAACAGAAGAAAGCCUGCCUGCUCUGUGGAAUCAGGACUUUCAUACAAAUUUCACUAAACUCAAAAAAAAAAAAAAAAAAAAAAAAAAGCACAAAACAGUUGAAGAAGCCAAAAGCCACAGGAAAAUCUUAAAGGUGAGGGGUUGUGUAGAGACUUAGAUACCUAGUAGAGUGUGUAGGAAGCCUUCCAGGGAAGCUGGUGGAGCAGCUCUUUAGAGAGUUCUAAAAAGUCAGUUUCACGGAACACUUUCAAAUAUAAAAUAAAAAAGUGUAGUGCCCUUUAAGAAAAGGUAGUUUUUAUCGGUGGGCUCUCGUGGGUGCGGGCCCGUAUGUAGUUUUAGCUCUAUCCUUAGUUAAUGCAGAGGCUGUGUGGAAAGAGAAGGUAAGAGGUGAACUUUAUUUCAGAAACCAUUGUGUUCUUCAUAGGCUUUAUUUUAAAGACAUGGCAGUUGGUGGCUAAAUUGUGCCACAGUUCAUUCCCUGUAGACAGAAGUAUAAACAAACAGUCCAUCUGUAGACAUUCUUAACUUUUUUUGACUGAUAAUCAGAAUUAUCAACCUUGCAAUGUGUUAGGAUCCUGAGAGGAAAUGUUAGCUGCCCACAGGUGACAGCAGUGUGACUGAAGCAGAAGGAGCUCCACACUUGCCCAGCCUCAGCUGUGUGAGCCUCAUGUGUCAACCUGGCGGGGACUUUAGGAAUAUUGAAAUGUGUCUUCCAUCCUGUGUGCCUGCAUGUGGAGGCACAGAAGGCCGCCAUUUCUCCUAAACAAUAUGAAGAAGAAUCCUGUGUUAUUCCUUCAGUAUUCUUUAGUGGUGUAUUUUCAAAGAUUUGGUACAUGUAAUAAGUAGAUGCUAUAGGGAUUUUUGUGACACUGCUGCAUAGGAAAGUCUUAACAGCUAAGGCCAAACAAUAAUCACUUAACUAGAAUAUAACUCUAUUCUGGAUAUUUUGCUGCUGAUGCUUCUCUCCAGGUUAUUAUUUUUAGCUUUAACUACUCCUCAGUGAUUAUUGUGUGUUACUGUGACGUACUUACACAGGGGCACUUAGGGGUAGGAGCACGGUCUACGUAGAAUCAGGGACGGGAAGAAAGCACAGUCUACAUAUAAUUGGUGAAGGAUGGGUGCACAGUCUACUAUAGAGAAUCAGGGAAGGGAUGGGAGUACAGUCUACAUAGAAUCAGGGUGAGCAGAGCAGUUCUUCCACUCACCUUAACGGUGUUUUCAGUUCUUGUUAUAAAUGGUUGUGAAAAAGCCUUAGGGAAUGUGUGCCCUUGAUUCAGUGGUAUUCAGUGGUGAGCACCAUUUGUAAGGCACUUUGAGCAUGAGGAAGAACCUGAAUAGAAUGUCACUGAAUUUUUCCCAUGCUCACUGAGAUUUAAAGACCUCACUACCUCUGCUCUACCAUACAAGUAGUUUUGCUAAUCAAAAAGAAUCGUGUACAAGAAUAUAAUUUUCUUAAUAUCUCAGUGUUUUAAUAGGAAUUUGUGUCAGAAAAUUUGUGGAAGGAAAUAUUUGUAAAGGUUUGUGGUGGAUUUAACCUCCAUGUCUAUUGAUCCUGAAUUCACUUGCCAUGUGAUUCCUGUAGACUAUUCAUUGUUCACCGAUGGGCUAAGAAAAAAAGAAGGGAAACAUAAAGGUACAGGAGGAGUAAAGCUCAUCUCUCUUAGUACCUUUCAUUUCUAGCAUUUGGAAGGCAGACACAGGCAGAUCUCUGUGAAUUCAAGGGCUUCCUAUUCUAGGUAGCUAGUUCUAGACCAAACAGGACUACAUGAUGUCAGAACAAACAAGAACUCUUUAUCCCGAGAAAGUGUGUUUGCUGAGCUCCUUGAGCAGAUCCCAGCUUCUUUGCUAUUUCAGAUCAUUUUCCUCCUUGCUAGUUUCCCCCCCUGUACGUUACUAAAGAGAAAUUCACUAAGGAAACUGUUCAACAUCUCCUAGAUGAGCCAAAAUGAUCUAGCACCUUCCAGUGUGGGAAUUUCACUUAGUUCUCCUAUUGAUUCAUAAGUUGAUUGAUGUUUCAGUGCCUUUUGAUUUUACUUUUGAGUGAUAACUAUUUCUCAGCAUUGAAAAAGU
rnacentral:lncRNA from 1 species